rnacentral:rRNA from 1 species
CCUACGGGAGGCAGCAGUGAGGAAUAUUGGUCAAUGGGCGAGAGCCUGAACCAGCCAAGUCGCGUGAAGGAUGACGGAUCUAUGGUUUGUAAACUUCUUUUAUAUGGGAAUAAAGUGAGGAACGUGUUCCUUUCUGUAUGUAUCAUAUGAAUAAGCAUCGGCUAACUCCGUGCCAGCAGCCGCGGUAAUACGGAGGAUGCAAGCGUUAUCCGGAUUUAUUGGGGUUAAAGGGUGCGUAGGUGGUUAAUUAAGUCAGCGGUGAAAGUUUGUGGCUCAACCAUAAAAUUGCCGUUGAUACUGGUUGACGUGAGUGUAUUUGAGGUAGGCGGAAUGCGUGGUGUAGCGGUGAAAUGCAUAGAUAUCACGCAGAACUCCGAUUGCGAAGGCAUCUUACUAAACUAUAACUGACGCUGAGGCACGAAAGCGUGGGGAGCAAACAGGAUUAGAUACCCUUGUAGUC